GCAAACUUGGUCAUUUAGAGGAAGUAAAAGUCGUAACAAGGUUUCCGUAGGUGAACCUGCGGAAGGAUCAUUAUCGAGUUUUUGAACGGGUUGUAGCUGGUCUCUAAUUACGGAGACAUGUGCACGCCUGGCUCAUUCCACUCUUCAACCUCUGUGAACUUAUUGUAGGUCGGUUGAAAGGUCGGUUCAGUAAAAUGAAUUGGCUGGAAGACCUUCCUAUGUUUUUACUACAAACGCUUCAGUUAUAGAAUGUCUUUUACUGCGUAUAACGCAUCUAUAUACAACUUUCAGCAACGGAUCUCUUGGCUCUCGCAUCGAUGAAGAACGCAGC
rnacentral:misc_RNA from 1 species